rnacentral:rRNA from 1 species
GAUGAACGCUGGCGGCGUGCCUAAUACAUGCAAGUCGAGCGAACAGACGAGGAGCUUGCUCCUCUGACGUUAGCGGCGGACGGGUGAGUAACACGUGGAUAACCUACCUAUAAGACUGGGAUAACUUCGGGAAACCGGAGCUAAUACCGGAUAAUAUAUUGAACCGCAUGGUUCAAUAGUGAAAGACGGUUUUGCUGUCACUUAUAGAUGGAUCCGCGCUGCAUUAGCUAGUUGGUAAGGUAACGGCUUACCAAGGCGACGAUGCGUAGCCGACCUGAGAGGGUGAUCGGCCACACUGGAACUGAGACACGGUCCGGACUCCUACGGGAGGCAGCAGUAGGGAAUCUUCCGCAAUGGGCGAAAGCCUGACGGAGCAACGCCGCGUGAGUGAUGAAGGUCUUCGGAUCGUAAAACUCUGUUAUUAGGGAAGAACAAAUGUGUAAGUAACUAUGCACGUCUUGACGGUACCUAAUCAGAAAGCCACGGCUAACUACGUG